CGGGCGUAGCAAUACGUCAGCGGCAGACGGGUGAGUAACGCGUGGGAACGUACCUUUUGGUUCGGAACAACACAGGGAAACUUGUGCUAAUACCGGAUAAGCCCUUACGGGGAAAGAUUUAUCGCCGAAAGAUCGGCCCGCGUCUGAUUAGCUAGUUGGUAGGGUAAUGGCCUACCAAGGCGACGAUCAGUAGCUGGUCUGAUAGGAUGAUCAGCCACAUUGGGACUGAGACACGGCCCAA
rnacentral:rRNA from 1 species